rnacentral:rRNA from 1 species
AUUGAACGCUGGCGGCAUGCCUUACACAUGCAAGUCGAACGGCAGCAUGAUCUAGCUUGCUAGAUUGAUGGCGAGUGGCGAACAGGUGAGUAAUACAUCGGAACGUGCCCUGUAGUGGGGGAUAACUAGUCGAAAGAUUAGCUAAUACCGCAUACGACCUGAUGGUGAAAGUGGGGGACCGCAAGGCCUCAUGCUAUAGUAGCGGCCGAUGUCUGAUUAGCUAGUUGGUGAGGUAAAGGCUCACCAAGGCGACGAUCAGUAGCUGGUCUGAGAGGACGAUCAGCCACACUGGGACUGAGACACGGCCCAGACUCCUACGGGAGGCAGCAGUGGGGAAUUUUGGACAAUGGGCGAAAGCCUGAUCCAGCAAUGCCGCGUGUGUGAAGAAGGCCUUCGGGUUGUAAAGCACUUUUGUCCGGAAAGAAAUGGCUCUGGUUAAUACCUGGGGUCGAUGACGGUACCGGAAGAAUAAGGACCGGCUAACUACGUG